rnacentral:lncRNA from 1 species
CAAAGACUUCGCACUGCUCUUGGAGUUCCCAUUGUGGCUCAUCGGUAACAAACCCAACUAGUAUCUACAAGGACAUGGGUUUGAUCCCUGGCCUUGCUCAGUGGGUUAAGGAUCCGGCGUUGCCAUGAGCUGUGGUGUAGGUCACAGACUCAGCUCGGAUCCCGAGUUGCUAUGGCUGUGGUAUAAGCUGGCAUCUACAGCUCAGUUCCACCCCUAGCCUGGGAACCUCCAUAUGCCGAACCUAUUUUUUUUUCUUUUUAUGGCUGCACCUGUGGCAUACGGAAGUUCCCAGGCUAGAAGUUACAGCGAUGGGAGCUACAGCUAUGACCUACACCACAGCCACAGCAACAGUGGAUCUGAACUGCAUCAGUGACCGAAGCUCACGGCAAUACCGGAUCCUUAACCCACUGAGUGGAGGCCACGGAUGGAACUCUCAUCCUCAUGGAUACUAGUCAGGUUCUUAAUCUGCUGAGCCACAACAGGAACUCCAAGCAUGUUGAAAUAAACAAUUUUACGGGCCCUUGGAGCUCGAACAGUUUAUGAUUCUCGGUCACCUUGAGAACCCACACCUGCAAAGCAGGUGGCAAACUCUAAGUGCUUUCCCUCAACAGGUGGUGAGAAGAGGGGUGAGGACAGGGGCAGACAGAAUCCCCCCUGCACUACUCCUCAACCUUUCAAAAAUAAACAAGCCCUAGCUAGUGAAUAAGCCAAUCCUCUCAUUAGGAAGGAUGACAACCAGGAUUUGACUAUAGAUCAGAAGUAAAGAAAAGGGAGAAAGGAGAUACUGAAAUGGAUUUUCAACAAAUAACUUCCCUCUGGUUCAGCCUGAAUUUUUUCCCGCAUGUGUAUACUUUCACAGAUCCAGUUUGGGAGCGUUCAAAUUAGCACAACCUGGCCUUAAAUACUGUGCAAAACACAUAGUAAGCAUUUUGCUUUUAUUUAUGUCAUCAAUGGCUUCAAUGGAAUGACUCAGCCUUCCUCUUUAACACUCUGUUCUAAUACGGUUUACUAUAAAUAAUGCGGAAAGUGAGGAGAGAGAGGGAGAGAGCCUGAGCCCUGGGCCCCUGCACAGCCGGGUCACAAAAGAUCCAGGUCUGACCGACAAACCCACGGUGGAUCUGAGCUCGACUGACAGCCCAGUGGUGGUUCCCAUGGAGAGAAAGACAAAUAAGCCUCUCCCCACCCUCCAGGUGUCCAGGACAAGCAAGGCUGUUAGAAAAGCGGACCAAUCACGGCCGAGGAUGUGCCAGGUACCAGGCUAGGAUUUUAACACUCGAGCUCCUUCUCCUGCUAGUGCCUUCCCGAAGGAUGAAGUCAGGACUCACACUCAGACCAGCAAACCUUCUGGGCCUACCCCCUUGGAGUGUAUGAGUCAGAACUCAAUCCAUUCUCCCUAACUCCAAAUGACAUCCACCCGUGGUGGUCUAGAUUUUUAAACACCAGCCGUGCCUCUUGGGAACCCAAACUCACGGGAGGCCAAACCACAAAUGCAGAAACAUCACAGCAAUGAGAGGAGUCCGCCCCAGGCCUGGAUGAUCGGCGGCAACGACUCCUUCUAGGACAGUGGUUGGAAAUCACAAAAGCACCUUGGCCUUCUCCAGCUCCCACCCAAGAAGUCAGGCCAACAUGCACCUCGGGGCUGGGCUGACAAGCCCUCUCUACACACUCCUUCCAGAAUCC